rnacentral:rRNA from 1 species
GACGAACGCUGGCGGCGUGCUUAACACAUGCAAGUCGAACGGAAAGGCCUCUUUCGGGGGGUACUCGAGUGGCGAACGGGUGAGUAACACGUGAGUAACCUGCCCUUGACUUUGGGAUAACUUCAGGAAACUGGGGCUAAUACCGGAUAGGAGCUCCUGCUGCAUGGUGGGGGUUGGAAAGUUUCGGCGGUUGGGGAUGGACUCGCGGCGUAUCCGCUUGUUGGUGGGGUAGUGGCUUACCAAGGCUUUGACGGGUAGCCGGCCUGAGAGGGUGACCGGCCACAUUGGGACCGAGGGACGGCCCAGACUCCGACGGGAGGCAGCAGGGGGGAAUAUUGCACAAUGGGUGGAAGCCUGAUGCAGCAACGCCGUGUGCGGGAAGACGGCCUUCGGGUUGUAAACCGCUUUCGCUCAUGACGAAGCUUUGUGUGACGGUAGUGGGUAAAGAAGCACCGGCUAACUACGUG